GGGAAGGGCCAUAGUUCAGUGGUAGAGCAUCUGCUUUGCGUGUAGAAGGUCCCAGGUUCAGUUCUUCACACCUCCCCA